ACUGCCUGUAGAGACAUUGCAGGUCCGGCUGCUGUGUCAAAUGGGUGUUGUCACUAAGUAGCAGAAAGAGGACAGGGGCUCUGUCUAUGCUCAGUGUUGUGACCUAUGAACAUCUGAAUGAGUAGAAGCCUAACAUU